GCAGAUUAAGGAGGGUAGAGUGACAUGGUUAAGAGAAUGUGGUUUUUUAGAUGGGAGAUCAGAGAAGACCUCUCUGGUAAGGAGACAUUUGAGUCAAAAUCUGAAGAAGGAGGGAGUGAGUCAUCUGAGUCUGUGAAGAAUUUUCUAAGCAAGGCGAGCAGCAAGCACGAAGGCUCUCAGGAAGGAGUGUGCUUGGUGAGUUCUAAGAACAAGCAGGCCAGUGUAGCUGGAAAGUAGUGAGCAGGAGACUGUGGGCAGGAGAGGACAUGAGAGAGGUGACAGAGUGGAUCACUGAGGACCCUGCAAGUGGUGGUAAGGACUUUAGAUUUUGUUUUGAAGCCAUUGGAGGGCUUUGAGUAGAGCAGUGACAUGAUUGGACUCACACCUUGGAAGGAUCACUCUGAGCAUGGACUCCAAGAGUGCACAAGGAGAAGUGUGAGGCCAGUGAGAAGGGUGCUGCAAUAAUCCGGGAUGAGAUGAAGAUGAUGGUGGCUUGGACCAGAGAGAAGAGACUAAGGGUGGUGAGAUGAGAUUAGAUUCUGAUAUAUAAUGAAGGUAGAGUAGACAAGAUAGAUGAGAUAUAGGGUUAUGAUU
rnacentral:lncRNA from 1 species